UCACUGGAAAUCUUAGUCGGAAGAGCUGAUUGUUAAAGGAAGCUGUGGUGAUUAGGUUCAGGUGAGCUGAUAGCUGCAGCUGUCUGUGAUUGAC